rnacentral:rRNA from 1 species
UACGUAGGAGGCGAGCGUUGUCCGGAAUUACUGGGCGUAAAGCGCACGUAGGCGGUCUUUUAAGUCGGGGGUGAAAUCCUGGAGCUCAACUCCAGAACUGCCUUCGAUACUGGAAGACUUGAGUCCGGGAGGGGUGAGUGGAACUGCGAGUGUAGAGGUGAAAUUCGUAGAUAUUCGCAAGAACACCAGUGGCGAAGGCGGCUCACUGGCCCGGUACUGACGCUGAGGUGCGAAAGCGUGGGGAGCAAACAGG